rnacentral:rRNA from 1 species
GACGAACGCUGGCGGCGUGCUUAACACAUGCAAGUCGAACGAAGUGGCGAACGGGUGAGUAACGCGUAAUCAACCUUCCCUUCAGAGGGGGACAACAGUUGGAAACGACUGCUACUACCUCAUACUGAAGGAGGGGCUUGCGUCUGCUUAGGUAGUUGGGGGGGUAACGGCCCACCAGGGCGAUGAUCAGUAGUCGGUCUGAGAGGAUGAACGGCCACAUUGGGACUGAGACACGGCCCAAGAUCCUACGGGAGGCAGCAGUGGGGAAUCUUCGGAAAUGGAGGAAAGUCUGACGGAGCAACGGCGCGGGAGGGAUGACGGCCUUCGGGUUGGAAAGCGCUGUUAAUCGGGACGCGGUACCGGAAGAGAAAGCAACGGCUAACUACGUGCCAGCAGCCGCGGUAAUAC